GAUGAAGAACGUAGUGAAAUGCGAUAAGUAAUGUGAAUUGCAGAAUUCAGUGAAUCAUCGAAUCUUUGAACGCACAUUGCGCCCGCUAGUAUUCUGGUGGGCAUGCCUGUCCGAGCGUCAUUUCAACCCUCAAGCCCCCGGGCUUGGUGUUGGGGAUCGGCGAGCCUCCGCGCCCGCCGUCCCCUAAAUCUAGUGGCGGUCUCGCUGUAGCUUCCUCUGCGUAGUAGCACACCUCGCACUGGGAAACAGCGCGGCCACGCCGUUAAACCCCCAACUUCUGAACGUUUGACCUCGGAUCAGGUAGGAAUACCCGCUGAACUUAAGCAUAUCAAUAAGCGGAGGA
rnacentral:misc_RNA from 1 species